GGUGGUGACUGUCACUAGUCACCACCUCCCUCUGUCACUACUCCCUCCCUCCUUCUGUCACUAGUCGCCCCCUCCCUCACUCUGUCACCUGUCACCCCCUCACUCUGUCACUAGUCACCCCCUCACUCUAGUGACAGAGUGAGGGACGGGGUGACUAGUGACAGAGUGAGAGAGAGGGUGACUAGUGACAGAGUGAGGAAGGGGGUGACACAGUGACAGAGUGAGGGAGGGGGUGGCUAGUGACAGAGUGAAGGAGGUGGUGACUGUCACUAGUCACACCCUUCCCUCCCUCACUCUGUCACUAGUCACCACCUCCCUCUGUCACUACUCCCUCCCUCCUUCUGUCACAAGUCACCCCCUCCCUCACUGUGUCACUAGUCACCCCCUCACUCUGUCACUAGUCACCCCCUCACUCUAGUGACAGAGUG